rnacentral:rRNA from 1 species
AACGACUCUCGGCAACGGAUAUCUCGGCCCUCGCAUCGAUGAAGAACGUAGCGAAAUGCGAUACUUGGUGUGAAUUGCAGAAUCCCGUGAACCAUCGAGUCUUUGGACGCAAGUUGCGCCCCAAGCCUUCGGGCCGAGGGCACGUCUGCCUGGGUGUCACAAAU